UAAAUUAAAAAGUGCAUAAAAAUAACAUGCAUAAAUUGAGGUUUUAGUGUUUUUACAUUCUCAUAUGCAAAGUAUAGUGUGUAAAAUGUUUCGCUAUAUGAGAUCUAAAAGAGCGAAAUAUUGAAAUCUCAUUUUUAACGCCGCCGCCGCCGACGACCAAAAAUGAUGUUUUAACCGCGGCGCACAUCUCUGCCGAAGCACCACACGGUUGUUUGUGAAAACCCAUUGAUGGGUAAAAAAACACCCAUUUUUGAGGACCAUGCGUGUCUGUCAAAAAAUGCGUAAAUUCAUAAAAAUAAAAUGGUUGAAAAAAUACCCAUUUUAAUCUUCUUUAUUCAGCUUACGAAUGGGUGUUUUUUUUACUCUUUAAUGGGUGAAAAAAUAGUUCUCCGAAAGUCUAGUCUGCUGGUGGACCAUAAUAUUAUAUUUUUCAAGGCAUUUCCAAGAAUUCUUAGUGAAUGUCAGACAUUACGACGUACAUUUUUGAAAUAUCAGUGUAAAAUGAGCGUCGCAGCAGGAGAAGCCAACUUCAAGGGUACUAGAUCGGCAUCAAAUUACGCCGUAUUUGUAAAUACGAAUAUGGAAUACCUUGCAUCCCAUAGCAUCAGAUCAGGACCCGAAACCCAAGCCGGAACCCUUCCAAAAUGACGGAAUGGAGCGAGAUCCGGCGGAACUGCCAAAUCGAAGGCAGGAGGAAGGCUGCUGCUGGCAGAGUAAGACGAACGCUGAUGAUCCGGAAUAAUAAAUACGAUUCUAGCAAAACUUGUAACAUUUUAUAUAAAUGAAAUAGUGAUAUCAAUAAAACUGAUACGAAACUGGUGUUAUUUUAAAUAUUGUUCAUCAUUAUUAUCAUUUUUAAAAUGCAAAGUAAUUUUUCACUGCAACAUUUUCAAAAAUGGGUGAAUUUUUACCCAUUUUUCCAAUUGCAUCGCGUUUUCAUAAUGGGUAAAUAAAUACCCAUCUUUUGACAUAACCCGUCUUUACCCGUUAAUGGGUAAACAGCCUUUACCCAUUAAAUGGGGAGAGGCACUUCUACGGAAAAUGGGUGUUUUUUCACCCAUUAAUGGGUAUCUGCAAACGACCGUGCAAAGCAAGCAUCACAGCGGUGCCAGACAUCAAGAAACAAGUAGUUAAUUGAAUGAGAUUUGGUCACUACAAAUACGAUGUUUUAUCAAUCAGAAGAUGGUCGUGUCUUGGUUUAACAUCUUGGUAAUCGAACUUCUACGCAAACAGAUCAAUAAUUUCGUUUUCCAACGCCAUUUCUUUCAAAAUAUUUGGUUUGCUUUUCAUCUAAAUAUGCUGCUACCGCUCAAGCUUUACGAACUUUCAUCCAGUUCGGCAGCACUGAUUUGCCAAUCAGCUGUGAAUGUAUGCGAGUGCAAAACGUGGGGAGCAAGCUUAGACGAUUCGUCGCGCCGCACAUUGUUGUGACUUUUCCUUUGUGAGAGUGAAAAACAAUCACAAUGAAACUGUCACCUGCUAGGGAAAGGGAGUGCGUUAGUGGGUGAGUGCAGAAUGCUCUACGAUGAAAAAAUGUGAGAGUGGUUGUGGAUUUGCUGUAAAUACUGUUGAGAUGAAAAAGGGGCCACCCGGUGGACCGCGAUGAGAUGAAAAUUUUACGGUGCGCUGAAGAUAGGUGCGAGUGGCUCGCGAUUUGUGAUCGCAAUUAAAUCAAAUAUUGAAGAUAAAUCCCACUCUAGUGCAUCGUAGGACCAACAGUGGAAGUGAGCACGUGUGUUAAGGGUUUGUAUCAUUAUGUUUGAAGCGUAUACAUUGCGCUGUGAGUGAUUUUUCAUGUUGCACAUCCUUAAUGAGACUAAGAUAGGCACAAAUACCCUACUACCAUAAGAGGAUAACAUAAAAAAAGUGACGCGUUCAAGUUUAAACUCGGCACGCUGCGAUCAGACAUAUUUGAAAAUUCUUCAGUUGGAAGUUGGAACGCAUGAUACCCUGGUAUCCUCAAAACUGAAAUGGUUAUAUAUCUGCCAUUUUUCAAAGAUUUGAAUAAUCUUGGGAUUCGAUUCAGAAACUUAUGUUUUAUUGGGAGCUUAUCCGAGUGAAAUCUGAUUACCGUGGUUUUCGGAAAAUCCGGAUUUUCAGGAAUAUGUUCGGCAUGUCAGCUACAAUAACCAUCAAAGAUCAUAAACCAAUAAACCAAUCAGUCUUGUCAUCAGUCCAUUGGUGGGCUAUUCCAGAAAAAAAAUCUCAAAAAGUCAUGGCUAUCAAUAACAUUUUCUUACACCUCAUCCCCUCUCAACCCCACAAUGUAUUGACAGAUUUUCUGAAACUCCGGGUGACCGGACCAGUUUAUUCGCAUAACAUAUCGAUAGAGUAAGCACAUAUGAGUUCGGAGCUGAAUCGGUAUCUGAACGGGCGGUCUUGAGCUCUGACACGCAAGUUAAAUUUCUACUGCGUUUCAAUCAAAACAUUGAAAUCAUUUAUAUUAAAUAUUUUUGACUCGUGUUCAGUUCAAGUGCAACAUUACAUGAAAGAACAGCCUAUGUUUAAAAGAAGGAAAAAUAUCAGAUGAAAAAUCUGCAUCUUCAACAUAUGAACAUAGUACAUAAAAUCAGGAAACUUGAACAAAACCCCAGAAGGUAUAACCACUGAUGAAAAAAAUCAGCAGUUAAUACAUGACGCAAUGAAAUGAGUAAACUUGAAAGACCAGCCUAUGUUUGAAAGAAGGAAAAAUAUCUAAAAAAAGGCAUCAGCUAAUGAAGAACAGCUUGUGUUCAAAAGGAAAAAUUUCUUAUGAAACAUUCAGCAGUUUGUACAGCGUACAGGAAAACGAUGUUGGGGUCAAUAUGAUCCAAACAGGCACGCUGAACGUGCAUUACGCCAUCGUGGUGCGAAAAACCGAACAUCCUAGGAGGGUUAAUAAACGUGAAAGAAUAGCCUAUGUUUCAAAGAAGGAAAAAUACAUGAGAAAAAGACAGCAGCCAUAACAUUUAAACAUAGUACAAAUACGAAACUUGAAAGAAUAGACUAUGUUCAAAAGUAAGGAAAAGGAAAAAUAAUCAAUAAAAAAAUCACAACCAUAAUGUCCACUGUCAGCACAAAUAACAAAUUUGAAAGAACAGCAUAUGUUGAAAAGAAGGAGAAACCUUUGAUGGAAAAGCCAGUAUGUGCUACACAAAAACGCAGUGAAAUUAUGAAAAUUGGAAGAAGAGCCAAUAUUAAAGAUAAGGAGAAAUCUUCGAUGGAAAAUCAACUACUUCACCAAUGCCAACGAAAACUACAUUGCAAAACAAGUUACCUUAAUAAUAAACACCCUUGAAUGAAAUAUUUGCUGUUUAAUGUUUGAUAUUAUUAACAUGAUUAAAUUGCUAUACAACUUAACGUCUAUUCUUUGUGGGGUUUUUCGUCACCGUUGAAUUUUAUGUUUCGAGAUUUGUUGAUUUUUUCGGUGAAAACAUAUUUUUCGUCCAAACAUACUUUCAACCAAAUAAGUUCAGUAACAAAUAAAUUCAGAUACCCAAAUCUA